UGUACAUUUGUGUAGGUGUGUGUGAAAAAGAGAAAAUGAGAUUAUCUAUACAUGGAGCGAGAGGGAGAGUGAGAUAAACUAAUAAACUAUCAAGGUGAAGAAAAGCUACGCAACUUGUCUAUUCUUUCUCGAAAAAUCUUUGAAUUGUUUGAUCCAAUGAAUUUGCUACGGACGUCAGGAGUUACGAGAAACAGAACAAAGGACACAAUAGUAGCUGUCCCAAGAAUUCCGAAUAAAAGUCUGAAGUAGGUACCUACUGUUCUCAAGCUUGGAUGGAAGUCAUUCUACGCGUCGGGAGUGGGCCGGCUAAGGCGCGCUGACCAGCCGGGAACAGGGCGCUGGGCGGCGCGGCGUGGCGGCGGCGGGCCGUUCUCGUCCGCUCGCCCGCCGCCACCGUCCGGACGCGUUAUUAAACUUUUCCCCAUAUUAAACAUUCCGGAGACGAAUACAUUUUAUUGUUGCUUCGGACCGACGUCAGAGGCCCCAACAAAGCGAAACUCAAAGACGGCAAUUGCGAAAUAAAUUGAAAGCAAUUUGAUAUUGCGUUGUAAGUAAUAGCCGUCAGGACCCCGCUACUCUGUGGAAGACAUUUUGUAUGCAAUUUAGAGAACUUUCAACGGGCCAUUUGAUUGCGGCCUUUCGGUCCAAUUUUGGGUUCCUAUGGUAGGUACUGCCUGCCGCUGAUUAAUGGCUUAUUUUGACUUAUGGACGAAGGAAAUUUUUUUACCAUAAUGUACCUUGU